rnacentral:Y_RNA from 1 species
AGUUGGCCCUAAGGUACUGAGUUAUCUCAAUUGAUUUGUUUACAAUCACAGAUCAGAUUCCUUGUUCUGCUCUCUACCCUCUUCUCACUACUGCAGUUGACUAAUCUUUU